rnacentral:rRNA from 1 species
GUCUGGCUCAGAUUGAACGCUGGCGGCAGGCCUAACACAUGCAAGUCGAACGGUAACAGGAAGAAGCUUGCUUCUUUGCUGACGAGUGGCGGACGGGUGAGUAAUGUCUGGGAAACUGCCCGAUGGAGGGGGAUAACUACUGGAAACGGUAGCUAAUACCGCAUAACGUCGCAAGACCAAAGAGGGGGACCUUCGGGCCUCUUGCCAUCGGAUGUGCCCAGAUGGGAUUAGCUUGUUGGUGAGGUAACGGCUCACCAAGGCGACGAUCCCUAGCUGGUCUGAGAGGAUGACCAGCCACACUGGAACUGAGACACGGUCCAGACUCCUACGGGAGGCAGCAGUGGGGAAUAUUGCACAAUGGGCGCAAGCCUGAUGCAGCCAUGCCGCGUGUAUGAAGAAGGCCUUCGGGUUGUAAAGUAC